rnacentral:lncRNA from 1 species
CCCUAGGAAUUUCAGAUAAAACACCAAAUACAGGGUAUAUAUAUAUACACACAUCCAUUCCAUUUCACAGAGCAUCCACUCUGUCUCCAGGCACAGCUGCAGGACUCUUCAUAAAUAAAUAACCUCGUGUAAGACAGAUUAUGUUCCUCGGAUAUCAAUCACUGGAAAAAGUGAUUAAAAGAGACAGAGGGAUCAAGGUGCUUUAAACUUGUCCAUGUGAAGAAAUGGAUUGUCCAAGGAAGCCA